GUCUUUAAAAAUCACCCUUCAUGCAGCCUUACAAGCUGAAAAUAUUUUCUGUUUUCUUGAUUUUAGUCUGCAUCAUAUUGAACAAACAGAAGCCUGGAGUAACCCGAUUUGAAUUUUAAACUGUAUCACAGCCUCACUUGACACAGAUUUCUGAUUGGUUGAUCACGGUGGGAGGGAAAACUCAUUGGUUGACGUCACCAACGGGCCGGAAUCUGCAAGCGGGAGAAGUGCAGAGAACGAGAGACUUUUGACGACCGUUUGUCGUAUUUUUUCUGCGUUUUAACAAUCCGUGUGAUGAAUCUCCAACAUUUUUUUUGCUUGUCUGGAAAAGAUUCAAGUAAAAUCUUUGAAGUUUGCACGGUGAUCUAAAUUCUACACGUGAAAAUGAGUGAAUCAGAACCCAUGUUCCUCCACACUGCCAUUAUGGAGGUCCUACCAGAGCCACAAAAGACAUCCUGGAAGAACACUUGCAGUCCAUUGGAAUAAAUGGAGUUGUAUGAGGAUCUACGAUUCAUAGAAGAGGCUGACUUGCUGCCAGCUUUGAGACCUGUUCAAGCCCGGAAAGGUCUUGCUCUUUGGAAAUUGAAAUACCAAACGCCAGAGAACAGCACAUCAUCAUCUGUUGAGACCUCACCAACACAAUCAUCAUCACUUUUGUUAUAGUCACCGAGGAGUUCGUCAUCCACAUCUUCCAGAAGCCGAGGACUGUACGUACAUUGACUGGGAGGACAGCUUUGAAAUUCCAUGGAAAAUGAUGAAAGCAAGACGUUUUUCCAAACUCUAAAAGGCUGCAGAUGAUGCGGGGAGAGCAGAGUGGCUGCUCAGAAGAGAUGAGAUGUUAAAGAGAUGCUCUUUCUUUUGCUCUGCUACUUUGAGGAGGAUGCCAUGUUCUUGUAGAAGAUGCAGACGAGGUCCAGCUGCAGCAGGUGCCGUUGACUCCAACUGUUAUUGUAUGUGGACAGUCUUUCUUUUCCCCAAGGAGGUUCAUGCUCAGUUGGAACCGCUCCAUCGUACACAACAACAUUGCAGCACUGUGCCUGAUGUUCAGAAGCUACUUCUGCUUUAACCGUCAUUAUCCAACUGAGCUGGCUUCAACCCUGGAGUUUCUGCAAAGCUGAUGUCCUGUGAUGUGCCACUCUACCUGGUUGGGAACAAAUUGAAGAGGCCAAGCUCAAGAAAGCCGUUGUCAACAAAUGUAGGGCAGAGCAGGUUCUAAGGCCACUGCUAUGAUCUACAGUAUGCGGACUGGUUUCUCUUCCAUCUUUUUCCUUAUUUUUUAUCUUAAUUUGGUUCUCAAAUUGGUCCAUGGAUUUGGUAGGCUGCAAGUUUCGGAGAAUGUUUUUAUCAGGUACUUUUUUAUGUGGUUACAUAAUCUUGUUUUUUUCCUUGUACCUCAGCAGUGAUGUCAGUGUGUUUGUUGUUUAAAAUAUGGAAUUUUUCUUUACCAUCAUGUCAGCCACAUUUAGUACGCCACGGUUCAUGUACUUAAUGCAUUUAAUAUUUUAAAAAGUGUUUUAUACUGCUACCACAAUUCAAAUGCUGUACUGAUGAUGGUGCUGCCCAAAUAAAGUGUAAAGCAUUUACA